CGCGCCACAGCUGCGAGCGAACGAAGCAAGCGUGCUUGUUUUAAAAAUUUUGUUGAAGGCAUGAUUCAUGAGCGAGACAUGGUGAACCUUCGGAGUCCCGAAUAUGAGUCUGUCAUUGUCCCUAUCAAUCCACCAAUGUGGGAGCAAUGGAAAGUGGACGGGAUCCCUGCGGAACAUCCCCCCUGGCCCAAGACUCUCUCCGAGCUUUCGG
rnacentral:lncRNA from 1 species